CUUGACUAUUCAGGCAUUAGCAAUCAAACCAACACACACCACAGCACUGUGACGAGACUUCAAAAGUGUCAGAUCAGACAGUUUUCACAAAGACCGGAGGUGUACAGCUGGAAUUGUAAAAUGUAAUGUCUAAUUAAUAUUUCGAUAACUCUGCUUGUUUCGACCACUGCAUGGAAGUUUUAUGUUCAGUGUCAAAUGUAGAGAACGUGAAGUUGACGUCAAGACCAUGUUGAAUUUUGGGUUCGCGCCAUGUUUAAAGGAUCCCACUGUCUUUCUGUUGGUGAGUUGGAGCUAUGAGUUGGUUACUUUUGACAACAUUCCUACAUCAAUGAAAGUGUGUUUUCCGCUUACACAUGUAGAUACUUGCAUUGCGUACGCGAUGUUCAAAUUAAGUGCGUAAGUUAAGUUUGCACAGUCAAUUGAACCUGUAACACACUCAAGCUAACUGGCUAUGAUUUAGCGUUAGCUUAUCCCAGUUGCUGUUGCUUUAUUAAGCAAACAGCUAUCAGUUUGCUGUUAAUAGCUGCUUGUUAGUAACUCAUACACAUCCGCCUUUUUGUCUCACAGUAACGUUAAACCGUUUUUUUAUGCCCAACAGUUUACUCUCAGUUCAUAUCCAUUAAUGUUCAAUUCAAUUCACCAGAUUAUCUUAGCUUUCUAAAAUAUAUGGAGUUCUUAAAUGUCUGACUGCUAUUUGACACAUGUUGUUGAUAACCAGUGAUAUAACUGAACAACACUGAAGACCCACUCCAUUUUAGAAUAUAUUUACUCCUGAACAGCUACUACAUUCAUGAAAUGACAUGAAAUAUGUCAUAUUUAAACUUUGGAACAUCUCAUGUUAUACUUCAGUCCGUCAACAGGCCCACAGUCUGCAGCGAGGGACAGAGCAUCCUAUUAUUAUUGUUAUAAUAAUAACUCCAUUAAAACAAUAAAAAACAGCUGCUUUUUUGCAAUUAAUUUAUCCUAUAUAAUCAAAAGUCAAAAAUCAAAAAGAUAUAUCACACACACAAAAUGGCAGCAUAUAUAUUGCAUCUCGGCAUUUAACUGUUUUCUAUUAUUUUUAGAAAGUAAGCGCUGUGAGAAUAUACUGUGUGAAUAAAUAAUGAUUGAAUUAUUUUUAGGACAGGCUUUUGUCAAUUAGGUAGUUAAUCAUGCCUCACAUACAAUAUCACCCGGUAUCAACUGGUAGAUCAAUUACCUGCUGCAGCUGAUCAUUAACCAGACUUCCAGCCUAUGGUCCAGUUUAUGGCUAUAUAGGUGAAAGAUCUUCACAGUCUGAUUUUCCAUUCAAUUCCAAUUAUUUUGACCAAUACUGUGACUUGAUCCAUUUAAAAAAGGAAUCCUGCAACUAUGUGCACUGUCAGGAUUUAGCAGGAGCUCCAGCAGGAGGUCCAGACACAGGAGAGCAUGACUGUGUCACAGCAUUCUAUUCUUGCAUCACGUGAUAAUCACAAGGCUAUUUGAAAGAUGUCAUGAUAGUAUGUGCAAUACUCUGCAUUAAACAUGGGAGUAUUAAAUCCAGCAAAUGAUUAAAUACACUUUACAAAUGUCAGUUUUAACACUGGCUGACUGGCCCAUAGGCAAGAAGCACACACAUACAAUUUACCUGGAUAAAUAGUCCUAUACCUACAGAAACAACAUGCACAAAUGAUAGUGAUCUUAACUGCAUGUAUUGAUCAUUCUGUAGACUAGUUAUCAUAUUAACUGUUGUAUCUCAAUACAGACAUCUAGGCUACAAUCCUAGAUUGUAGGCCAAACAUGCACCACUUGGCCUGUGUGUGUGUGCAAAGAAAUAUCAUGGUGCCUGUCCUCAAAAUUUACUUUGAUGGAGAAAAUGAGAUCAUGCAGGACUACGAUCUCACCCGAGCCUCUAUCGAUGCUCUGAUGAGACUACUGCCACCUGAGGGUAGACGUGGCUGGGAACACCACAUCACAACACUCAUAACUGUGUGUUUGCUGGCACACGGGUUGUCAUACAAUGUGGUAUCCCGGAUCUUUCAAGUGCCCACGACCACUGUUUAUAGGCUGGUCCACAGAGAGGUGAUGAGGAUUCCUGCCCUGCGCCAGGACAUAAUUAAAUUCCCAUCACCCAGGAACUGAAUGAGGUUGGUCACCAGCUCCAGCUACUGGCCAACAGUCCUGUGUUUGGCACGUGUGUUGGUGCCAUUGAUGGAUGCCACGUGAGAAUCAAAACACUGCCAGGACCCAGUGGGCAGGAAGCUCUUCACAUCUAUCCAGCUACAGUCUGUGUGUGAUGGGAAGGGUAAUUUCCUAAACACUUCUGUGGGAUAUCCAGGAUAGCAGUGGGAUCUUUAGAGAUGUUCUGUACCCUCCCCAAGGGUACUUGCAUAAGCCAUCCUGUUGCCACUGCAAAGGAGGGUACAAAGCAGGUUCAACCAGCGCCAUGCCAAGGCCCUCUCAGUAACUGAACAUGCUUUUGGCAUGUUGAAAACCUGCUGGCGGUCCCUGCUGUUCAGGGCCCUGGAGGUGAACCACAAUUUUGCACCUACUGUCAUUACCACUUGUGCUGUCCUGCCUGAAUAGUAUUUGCUUGACAGCAGGAGACAUCCUCGAGCCCAUGCAGGACAACGUUGAAACCUCUGUGCCUCCAUCACGUCCAGUGAGGAGGGAGCGGAGUUCAUGUGUUCAGAGGGACAAGCUGGCCGGGCAGCUCUCCGCUCCAGUUGAGCAUGUCGCUCCCUUACAGGAGCACGAUUAUUGAUUACCCUUUUCAUUUGUUAGUAGGCCAUAUUGUUUGUAAGUAUUUUCUCCAUGCCCUGCCUUUUUUUUUUUUUUUGCAGAUGUUUUGUUAAUUGUAGCAACGGGCAUAAAUGUGGCAGGAAAAUUUUUGUUUUUAAGUAGAUUUAUGGUUUGUUCAAUUGUCUCAUAAGUUCUUCUGUAUACUGACUGACUUUGGCUUGAUGUGUAGAACUGCCUCAGAUCAUAUGGACUGGGAAAGUUUUAAUAAAGCCCAAUCCAUGUGUUGACACAUCUUAGAUCCACAUAAAUGAAGACUUUGACUUGAAAUCCAAACUUUUUGUGUUUUAUACACACACACACACGUCUGUUAACACUUGUGAACACAAGAUUGGUUGAGUUCUUUGAUUUAAAUUUGGAAAACAUCUUUAACACCGACUCUGAUUGUGUAACAUGUCAAGGUGUUUUACAUAUGAAUGUUGCAGAUUUUAAACCCUUUGAUUUUCCAUGUCAGUGUUUUAUAGAUGUUGUCCUUGUACAUUAUGUUAAACUGCAGACUUGAAACAUCUGGCAGACAUUUUUAAUUCUGAGAUAGGAAAAAAAAUAGAUUAGUCUAACUUUGAACUGUAUCUAAAACUAUAUCACAAAGAAUUAUCACAAAGAAUUUAAAAAAACACGAACAAAUGAUUCCUUUAAACCUUUAGCUGUUACUCCAGGGCUCUUUUCAAACCUCAUUCUGCAUUUUGCCCUUGGAGGGAGAGUGGCCAAAGUACUAAAUCUACUCCAUUUAUAGGCGAUUUGUCUAACUGCGGACUGAUGAAUAUCUAAACUAAAAAAAAAUCAAACUAACAAUUCUUGAUUGUAAGUCUUCUGAGAUUUCUUUUUUGCAAGGCCUGGUUCACAUCAGCAGAUGUUUUUUGUGAAUAACUCAAAAUGUUUGAGUGUUUUUUUUUAUGAGUCAAAGUAGCUCUAGCCCACACGGCCAAUCUCGUUUCAUUGAUUGGUCUCAAGGUUUGCAAACACCUGAUUCCAGUUAGCUUUCAUUGAUGUCAUUAGACUAGGGCUUCACAUGCUUUUUCCAGCCUACAAUGAAUGUUUGAAUGAUGUAUUCAAUAUGGACAACAACAAUGUAAUAAUUUGGGUGUUAUUAGCUACAAUAGAUUGUGCUUGUUCAUAAAUGUAACUUAGAUGAAGAUCUGAUCAUGUCAAAUUACAUAAACACAGGUAAUUUCAAAAGGGUUCACUUACUUUUUCUUGCUCUUGCUUUUCUCUCUCUGUAUAUGAAGAACAUCUGACACUAUCUUAUAUCACAUUUGUAGAUAUAAGAUAGUGAGUAGAGUCUUGUUGAUGCCAGAAAAAUAUUUUUGAUUUAUCAUAUGUUUCAUAUGUUUAUUUUUAGAUCUUUGCUUGGUGCUUUUCAUUCAAAUAUAUAUUAUCAUACAUAUCAUUUUUCUGUAAACAUAGUUACUUCCUUCAUCCAUCCCUAUAAGACAUGAGACUAUAUCAGAUUUCUGACAGUUCUACUCAUAAUAGAAAUGUAUUCAGGGUGUUAAUCAUUUCCAUAAAACAACACAUAAGGCAGCUAUGCAUGUACAUGUACUGCUAAGCAUUUUUCUAAAUACAAUGUUCUCAGGCUCC